UCUUUCUUCUCUCUUUAUCGCUCAACUCUCUCUAUUCUCUCUGUCCUCACCUCCUCAACCUUGUUCCUCGAUCACCUACUCUCAACGUUGCCUCCACCUCCCUACCUCCGACACCAUAACCUUUACCCCGAAGACAGCAAAUCUUCAGCGCAACGAAUCUCCGACGAUUCUUUGGUGACAAACCUAAUAUCAGGCUCUAGCUCUUCCAUCUAUACGGGUAAUCUCCAGUUGUACCUAGAUUAAAGGUUUUUCUUCUAAUUCUUUUUUUAGUUUCCCCUAAAUACAGUUAAUUGGAUUGUCUAGAUUGUUGAAAUUAGUUGAAGUAUUGGUUUGACUGUGGGAUUAUUGUUACAUUACCUAGAUUACAUUAGAUUUGCUAAAAUUGGUUUAAGUUUUGGUUUGACUAUGAGAUUAUUGU
rnacentral:lncRNA from 1 species